CUUCUUGCACCUUUGGGAUCUGCUGUCUAUAUCAGUCUUUCUUCCUAGCUGUUGAAGAGCAUGAUCUUGUUUUUUGGCAAAGCUAUCUCAGAUUUUGUCCUGCACAAGUAACAUUU
ensembl:snoRNA